rnacentral:rRNA from 1 species
UACGAAGGGGGCUAGCGUUGCUCGGAAUCACUGGGCGUAAAGGGUGCGUAGGCGGGUCUUUAAGUCAGGGGUGAAAUCCUGGAGCUCAACUCCAGAACUGCCUUCGAUACUGGGAGCUCGAGUCCGGGAGAGGUGAGUGGAACUGCGAGUGUAGAGGUGAAAUUCGUAGAUAUUCGCAAGAACACCAGUGGGCGAAGGCGGCUCACUGGCCCGGUACUGACGCUGAGGUGCGAAAGCGUGGGGAGCAAACAGG